rnacentral:lncRNA from 1 species
AUGAUGAUGAACAAACGUGAAAAAUAUGUAGUGAAAGAGUUAAAUGAUUUUGGAAAUGUGAAAAGUCCAAAAAUUGACCUAAAUACUUUUUCUAAUUUAUAUAUACAUUCUAUGUCUAAUCAAAAAGAAUCAAUAGAUGAACAUUCCAAUUUGAAUAGAAUUAAACAUGUGAGCGGGUCUGAUAAUAGAUUAAGCUAUAAAAAAAUUUUAGAGGAAUAUAAGGAUUUGCUGAAAAAUGUGAUAAAUAAAAAGCCAAAUAAAAAAACGAAUAAUUUAUAUGGUAGCAUAAAAAAAAAUGGCGAAUUGGCAUGUAAAGAGUUAACCAAUAAAAGUGACAAAGUUUAUACGUCUAACGCUUUUUUCAAUAGGUUAAGAAAAUAUAACAAAAGUAACAUAAAAAAUAUCAGCAAUUUGCAUAUUCUUUGUAAAAACAAAUUCGCUUAUAUCAUAGCUCGAUUAAUGAAAAAAAAAUAUUUUAAUUAUAAGAACAUAAAAAAGCAAGUACCACAGUUUAUAGAUAAUCAAAACUGUAUUAGUACUGAAGAUAUAACAGAAAACAUUCAAAAAAAAAAAAAAAAACAUAAUUAUACCAAUAUAAAUAAAAUAACAAAUAAUGCAACCAAAAGCGAAAUAAAUGUUUUAACUAGUGAAAAAUUGUUAAGCAAUGAAUUAUUACGUCGCUUUGAAAAAAAAAAAAAUAACAUUUUUAAUUUUUAUAUUAUAAAUGCAAAACAUUUCACCUUUUUUAGAAAAAAAAGAAUAGUAAAAAAAAUUCGAACUUUAACUAUGGUACCAGAAAAAGCUAUAAAAAAAAAAGGAAAUAAUAAUAAACAUACACAUGUUCCUGCUUCUGUCCUCCACGUACCUAUUCCGAAAAAAAAGAAAAGAAAAAAACUAUUUAAUAAAGAAGAAAAAAAUAGUAAUAUAAAAAUGGUAACAAAAGCAGAUAAUGUAAAAAGGAUAAAUGAAGAGGAACAUAAAAUGGACCACCAUGUUGAUAUAUUUGAAAAUUAUACUAAUCAAGAAAUAGGAACAGGAACAGGAACAGGAACAGGAACAGGAACAGGAACAGGAANNNNNNNNNNAGGAACAGGAACAGGAACAGGAACAGGAACAGGAACAGGAACAGGAACAGGAACAGGAACAGGAACAGGAACAGGAACAGGAACAGGAACAGGAACAGGAAACCGUUGUCAUAAAAGUAUAAACUUUAAAGAAGAGUUAAAAAAAAUAAAC